ensembl:misc_RNA Y_RNA Y RNA
GGCUGGUCCAAAGGUAAUGAGUUAUCUUGAUUGCUCAGUCAGUUACAAAUCAAACUCCUUGCUCCACUCUUCCCCCUUCUCACUACUGCACUUGACUACUCUUAA